AACGAACGCUGGCGGCAGGCUUAACACAUGCAAGUCGAACGCAUCCUUCGGGGUGAGUGGCAGACGGGUGAGUAACGCGUGGGAACGUGCCCUUCAGUUCGGGAUAACCCAGGGAAACUUGGGCUAAUACCGGAUACGUGCGAGAGCAGAAAGAUUUAUCGCUGAAGGAUCGGCCCGCGUCUGAUUAGCUAGUUGGUGGGGGAAUGGCCCACCAAGGCGACGAUCAGUAGCUGGUCUGAGAGGAUGAUCAGCCACAUUGGGACUGAGACACGGCCCAAACUCCUACGGGAGGCAGCAGUGGGGAAUAUUGGACAAUGGGCGCAAGCCUGAUCCAGCCAUGCCGCGUGGGUGAUGAAGGCCUUAGGGUUGUAAAGCUCUUUCAGUGGGGACGAUAAUGACGGUACCCGCAGAAGAAGCCCCGGCUAACUUCGUGCCAGCAGCCGCCGUAA
rnacentral:rRNA from 1 species